rnacentral:rRNA from 1 species
GAUGAACGCUGCUAGAAUGCUUAACACAUGCAAGUCUACUUGAACUUCGGUUUGGGUGGCGGACGGGUGAGUAACGCGUAAAGAACUUGCCUCACAGAUAGGGACAACAUUUGGAAACGAAUGCUAAUACCUGAUAUUAUGAUUUUAGGGCAUCCUAGAAUUAUGAAAGCUAUAUGCACUGUGAGAGAGCUUUGCGUCCCAUUAGCUAGUUGGAGAGGUAACGGCUCACCAAGGCGAUGAUGGGUAGCCGGCCUGAGAGGGUGAUCGGCCACAAGGGGACUGAGACACGGCCCUUACUCCUACGGGAGGCAGCAGUGGGGAAUAUUGGACAAUGGACCAAGAGUCUGAUCCAGCAAUUCUGUGUGCACGAUGAAGUUUUUCGGAAUGUAAAGUGCUUUCAGUUGGGAAGAAAAAAAUGACGGUACCAACAGAAGAAGUGACGGCUAAAUACGUG